rnacentral:rRNA from 1 species
AUCGAACGCUGGCGGCAGGCCUAACACAUGCAAGUCGAGCGAGAGGCGGACGGGGGAGUGAUGUCUGGGAGACUGCCUGCUGGAGGGGGAUAACUACAGGAAACGGUAGAUAAUACCGCAUACCCUCAGAUGUGCCCAGAUUGGAUUAGCUAGUAUGUGUGGUAAUGGCGCACCUAGGCGACGAUCCCUAGAUGGUAUGAGAGGAUGACCAGCCACACGGGAACUUAGACACGGUCCAGACUCCUACGGGAGGCAGCAGUGGGGAAUAUUGCACAAUGGGCGCAAGCCGGAUGCAGCCAUGCCGCGUGUAUGAAGAAGGCCUUCGGGUUGUAAAGUACUUUCAGCGGGGAGGCGUUACCCGCAGAAGAAGCACCGGCUAACUCCGUGCCAGCAGCCGCGGUAAUUC